GACGAACGCUGGCGGCGUGCUUAACACAUGCAAGUCGAGCGGUAAGGCCCUUUCGGGGGUACACGAGCGGCGAACGGGUGAGUAACACGUGGGUGACCUGCCCUCAGCUCUGGGAUAAGCCUGGGAAACCGGGUCUAAUACUGGAUAUGACUCCAUGACGCAUGUUGUGGGGUGGAAAGCCUUGUGCGGCUGAGGAUGGGCCCGCGGCCUAUCAGCUUGUUGGUGGGGUGANGGCCUACCAAGGCGACGACGGGUAGCCGGCCUGAGAGGGCGACCGGCCACACUGGGACUGAGACACGGCCCAGACUCCUACGGGAGGCAGCAGUGGGGAAUCUUGCGCAAUGGGCGAAAGCCUGACGCAGCGACGCCGCGUGUGUGAAGAAGGCCUGCGGGUUGUAAAGCACUUUCAGUAGGGAAGAAAGCCGAGUGCUAAUAUCACUCGGUCUUG
rnacentral:rRNA from 1 species